GAUGAACGCUGACAGAAUGCUUAACACAUGCAAGUCUUUGGCGAAGCUGUGCUUGCACAGCCUAGCCAAGGCGGACGGGUGAGUAACGCGUAAGGAACUUGCCCUGCAGUCAGGGAUAACAGACGGAAACGACUGAUAAGACCUGGUAAAGUCAGGCGGACUCAUGUCCAGCCUGAUGAAAAGAGAUGCUGCAGGAGAGCCUUGCGUCCUAUUAGCUUGUUGGUGGGGUAACGGCCCACCAAGGCGAUGAUAGGUAGCCGGCCUGAGAGGGUGGACGGCCACAAGGGGACUGAGAUACGGCCCUUACUCCUACGGGAGGCAGCAGUGGGGAAUAUUGGACAAUGGGGGCAACCCUGAUCCAGCAAUUCUGUGUGCACGAUGAAGGUUUUCGGAUUGUAAAGUGCUUUCAGCAGGGAAGAAAAAAAUGACGGUACCUGCAGAAGAAGCGACGGCUAAGUACGUG
rnacentral:rRNA from 1 species